CAAGUAGCAGAGUCAGAAUUCGGGGUGUAACUCACCCGGUUCUGAUGCCCACAUGCUCCUUACUAUAACAGGGCAUUUCUACUCACAGCCUCUGGGUCACCUGGAUCAGAAGCACCUGGGGCAGGGGGUGCUUGUUACACACACCUGGGCACAGGGAAACUGCAUUUUUAGUGAGCUGCCCAGAUGCUUCUGAGGCAUGCAAAAACUAGGGAACUCCUGCAUUACGUCUUGGUUCCCGUCUUGGGCUGAGGGAGGUGAAAGAAAUCGGUGCUGGCCUUCCGGGUGCAGAGGCUACAAGACAAGUCCCAGAACAGGAAGCUGGCAGCCUUCACAGGGGUCUUUCCAGGAAACUGCAGCCUCUUCUGAGUCCCGACCAGCUCCUUGAGGAGGUCUCUGGCACCAGAGGGCAGUGGCCAGUGACGCAUCUUCCCUGAGGAAGGAACUGAGUCCCUUACUGAAAUGGGAUUGAAAUGGGGAAAGUGCCUACGCUUGCACCACAACGUGCCAGGUUCUGCACCAGGCAGUGUUGCAGGUGAACGAGACAGACAUGGUCUCCGAGCCCAUGGUGGUGACGUCCAGCGGGGGAAAACAGGUGGGCUCUAAUCCAAUACGACUAAUGUCCUUAUGAGACGAGGAAAUUAACACAUGGAAAAGCACAGAAGGAAGACCACGUGAGGACACCAGGAGAAGAAGGCCACCUACAAGCCAAGGAGAGAGGCCUCAGAAGAAAGCAACCACACUGGCACCUUGAUCUCAGACUUCUAACCUCCAGAUUUGAUGUUCAGGUUGGCGGCAACAGUCCCCACCCUGUGCCAAAGGAAGGUUUCCAUCACUUCGAAUGGGAAGACACACUUGCGACCCCACUGUGCAGCCCUUGUGUGAUGAGAACUAUAUAAUGUUAUACCUCCUGUGCAAUUCCACGAAACAACCCCACUCUUCACCUACUCCUUGCAGCAGCGGCUGUGGUGUUGCUGUCUAAUUAUGCACAGUGUUGUGUGGGUGAUUUUCCUGAGUUGGACAGGACAGCUCCUCAAAGAAUUUUAUAUGUGUGUGUGUGUGUGUGUGUGUGUGUGUGUGUGUGUGUGUUCAGCCUUCCUCAGACCACCAAAAUAAAUCCUGUGCUUUCUUGCUCAAUUCUUACCUUUUUUGGUUCUAAUUGGAGAGUCAGGAAAGCAGUCUUUGGGUGGCGAGAGAAGGGGGAGGAGGACGAUAUCUGUGCCGGGCCUGGCGAUGGUGGGCCAGGUGUGGCUAAGAGUGGAAAGAAAGUUUCUCAAAAAAAAGUCAUUCUAAACUAUGUAUUUGGAUCCCGUUCAUGCUUUUUGAGAAAUGCAGGUAAAUAAUUUUUUAUUAUUUUUGGUUGUUAUAUUGUCUAUUUUGGCUAUGAUACUCCCCACAAAUAAACUAUGAAGACCCCUUACAAUAAAGAUUAUAUUUUAAUAAAAAGUAAA
rnacentral:lncRNA from 1 species